rnacentral:rRNA from 1 species
CACGUAGGGUGCGAGCGUUGUCCGGAAUUAUUGGGCGUAAAGAGCUCGUAGGCGGUGUGUCGCGUCGGCCGUGAAAACUUGCAGCUUAACUGUGGGCGUGCGGUCGAUACGGGCAUCACUGGAGUUCGGCAGGGGAGACUGGAAUUCCUGGUGUAGCGGUGAAAUGCGCAGAUAUCAGGAGGAACACCAGUGGCGAAGGCGAGUCCCUGGACAACACCUGACACUGAGGCACGAAAGCUAGGGGAGCAAACAGG